GACGAACCGUGCGAACGUUAUUCGGAAUCACUGGGCUUAAAGCGCGUGUAGGCGGCUAAGUGUGUCGGGCGUGAAAUCCCAUGGCUCAACCAUGGAAGUGCACCCGAAACUGCUUAGCUAGAGUCCUGGAGAGGAAGGUGGAAUGCUUGGUGUAGAGGUGAAAUUCGUAGAUAUCAAGCGGAACACCGGUGGCGAAGGCGGCCUUCUGGACAGUGACUGACGCUGAGACGCGAAAGCGUGGGGAGCAAACAGG
rnacentral:rRNA from 1 species